rnacentral:rRNA from 1 species
GAUCAUGGCUCAGGAUGAACGCUAGCUACAGGCUUAACACAUGCAAGUCGAGGGGCAGCAUGGUCUUAGCUUGCUAAGGCCGAUGGCGACCGGCGCACGGGUGAGUAACGCGUAUCCAACCUGCCUUACACUCUUGGACAGCCUUCUGAAAGGGAGAUUAAUACAAGAUGUUAUCAUGAGUAAGCAUUUUCGCAUGAUAAGUUACGUGUAGAUGGGAGUGCG